rnacentral:lncRNA from 1 species
UAAAACUUUGAGGCUUUUGCAAUGGGACAAAGAUUUAGGCAAAAGGCCUUCUAAUAGGUUUCCAUUAAGAUUUAGAAUGUAAAGGGACUCCGAAAAGUUACUCCAAUUUGUCUUCUAAUCUAUUGCUUCCAAGAUUUAAAAUGUUCAGGUAUUUGCAAUGGGACAAAGAUUUAGGCAAAAGGCCUUCUAAUAGGUUUCCAUUAAGAUUUAGAAUGGAAAUGUCCUUUGAAAAGUUACUUGGCAAAGUGCCAUGAAAUUUGUUCAUAUGUAGAUCCAAAAUUUUAAGGGGUUGAAAAUUUGAAAAACAUUGUGGAAUGAGACCAGUCAAAUUGUUGUGUCCCAAGUUCAGAAAAACUUAUAUUGCAAACUGCUAAAGGGAUGCCACCGUACAUAGAGAUGUUCAUUAUUCACUGCCAUUUCAACCAAUUGAACUGUUGAUGUGAACAAGUUUUGAGAGAGGUUUAAAACGUUCAAAUGAUUUGUUUCAAUUAAGCAAUUGGGCAUUCCAUUAAGUUUGUUAUUGGAAAGAUCAAGCAAAAUCAAAUUUGUCAAAUUUCCUUGUAAUUUGUGAAAUUCAAUCAGAUUGACAGAAGACAAUUCUAAGAGACAUUAGAUAGCUUGGAUUGUUCCAUUUAAAAUCAACCGAGUUAGCUUGGAUUGAUAGAAGACAUUUCUGUAAUUCUAUGCCACCCAAAACUCGGUCUCUUCAUUGUUGUUAAAACCGCGACGCAUAAACUCGAUCGAUUUUACGUUUUUAGGUAUGAAAAAUGUGUUAAAUCAGAUGCAAACUCAUUUUUUGGUAAACUCGGGAAAAAAACAAGUUUACACCGAGUUAACUCGGUCAAACUCGCUGAAAUCGUGUAAACUCAUCACACGAGUUUACUUGUGAUUGCGAGUUUACCUUUAAAGGUCCAUUUUCAUUUUUGGCCCAAUUUUUUUUUGUCUAGUUGUCAAAAUAAACAAUUUUUCUCGGCUCUACCUUCAAUGAGCUUGAUCUUUGGUUCUAACAUUGAAAAUUCUUUAUCAUAUGGAGAAGAAUUUGUUGAUUUUGAAGAUGAAAACAUAGAUGAAAAUGAUGGUAAAACCUUCUAGUAAAAUUGAACUUUUAAAAAGAGUAACUCUGAUUUUUUUGUGUACUUUAACUUUUUACCGAUUUUAUAAACUUAUGAACAUUUUUAUCUAGAUUGUUAUUUGGACGUUUAUAUGAUUUGGUGGGAUAAUUAUAUAUUUUAAUACAAGUUUAAUGCUAUUUAUACGAUGAUUUGAUAGAUUUUGCCUGUUUAUAUUUUGAAAUAUUGACGUUUUUAUAGUAUUAUACUACUCCCUCCGUCCCAAAAUAAAUGACAUAGUUGACCACUGUCACGUUUGCCAUUGUACAACUUGAAUCGUUAAUAUCUUAAAUUAUAUUUUAUUAAAAAUUAUAUAUUUUGAAAAUACUCAUCGAGACAAAUCAAACAUCUCAUAUGCUAAUAUUUGCAUUUAUAUAUUUAGAAACCCACCAAACAUAGAAUGAAAAUGAGAGUGAAGGAAAUUAAUGUAAGAAAGGAAAUUAAUGGAAAAGUGUACCAGUGACCAGAGAUGGUGAUGUGACAUGUGACACCAUGCCAGGAGCAACAAUCAGUCCCCUUUUUCCAUGUUGCUGAAGAUACACCUAAUCUUGUUGAACUUGCAUCCACGUUCAGCAAUGUCAAGUUUGUGACUGGGUUCACCUAUUUCUAUUACAAGAAUGGUAGUUUUGAUUCUUUGGACAUAAUUGAAAUUAAUCUACAACAGGUGUUCAUGAGUUGUCAAUUGCUUUACAUGUUCACAUUUGGAGCUACUUCAAUACUCUAUUUUAUGAUGAUUAUUGGUCUGUGUGGAAGGAUCAUCACUACUAUUUUAAUCAUAAUGCAAGUUUAAUUGUUCAAGUUGCAUUUACUUUUAAAAUGAUAGCGAGAACUUAUGGUUCUGAACUGAUGAUGGUUAUGAGUUAUGGUGAGAAUUGGUAUUUUGAUAAUUUCUUUUGUGUAGUUAAUAAGUUGGACUGCUACAGAUAUAUGGAAGAUGCAGAAUUAGUGAUUCAAGUUUAUGUGUGAUGAUGUUGAUAUUAUUCGAACAUUCACCGCAAAGAAGUCUCGGAAAGGGCAUUUGCCUCCUAAUUUUAUUUAGUACACCAUUGGGAUGUUAUGUUGUUUCUCUCUUAAUUUCAAAUUGUACUUUUGUUGACAAAAUUGUGCACCAUUGGAAUGUUAUGUUGUUUCUCUCUUAAAUCGCAAAACUUAUAUUUAACGGCAAAAUUUUGCCCAGGCUUUUUAAAAUUCCUGGCUCCGCCUAUGCACAUGACCAUUGUGUGCAUAUUAAUUAAUUAAUUAUAUUAUUAGUAAUAUGAAGUUGAAGAAUGUUUUAGUAGACAAGCAUAAAAUUAAUCUACAUGAUAUUGAUGUCAAAAGACACUUAAAAAGUAAUAGAGGGAGUAUAACUUAAAUAUCCUGUAAAUGGAUUAUUUGAUAGAUCCAAUCUUCUAAUAGAUAGCUUUCCUGCUAGUGCUUAUGCCAAAGCUAUCCAAUUUACACAUGCUGAUACUGCAGCCAAAGCCCAAACCUGCAUUAUUGCAUUCCAAUGCAUGAUUAGUAUGUUGAUUUGUACUGUAAUUCAAUCCUUAUUGUAAUAGAAGUUAGUUAGAAGGGUUUGUUAGGAUAUCUAACUCACAUGACAGUUACUUGCUACACAAGGUAACUAGUUUAGUUUAGUUUAGAGAGAGUGCUAUAUAUAGCUUUUUAUUUUCAUAAAUAAAAGGUUAAGUGAAAUCAAGAACGUGAACAAAAUUGGCUUGACAAUGGUUAAUUAACUAAACAACAAUCUUAGCCAUUCGGUAUAAAGUAGAAACCAACACUGCAUGAACUGAACUGCAAUAUCUUUGUUGUUGAUGCUUGGCUCCUUCCGAUGUUUCGGAGCUCAUUGUAAAGAGAUGAUUAAAUGGGAUAAAACUUAUGAAUUCUAGCUAAAUUACAUAUGGAUAAAAACACACAAUAUAUUCAUUCAGAUUACAAACUUACAACCCAAAAUCAAACCACAAAAAUGAAACUAUGACAUUGGCACCAACUGAGUAGAACCAUUGGUUCUCCUCACUCUAAUCCUCCUCCUGUUCACUCUUCUCUUAGGCUGACCACCAAAUAUCAUCACAAGCCAUCUUGGCUUUCCAAUCAAAAACACAAAAUAACCAAGGCUUAUUCCAAUCACAAAUCCACAUCCAUAUCCAAUUGCCACUGGUCUCCAUCCAAAUCCAAUUUUCUCUUCACUCCUAAAGUUGUUGGCUGGAGGUGGAGGUGGAGAAUGAGGUUCAGGUCCACAUUUCUUUGACAAUGGAAAUCCACAUAGCCCCAAGUUUCCUUCAUAUGAAUCAUUUGUAAAUGUAUUGAAUUGUGUUCCUUGAGGUAUUUCUCCCACAAGAUGGUUAUUUGAAAGAUUNNNNUCUAUUAUGGGAAAGGUUAAGGCCUUUGAGUGCAUGAAGCUCUCCAAUAGCAUUUGGAAUCUCUCCUUCAAAAUUGUUUCUUGACAAAUCAAUACUUACAAACAAUUUUGGAAUUCUCACCAGUGUCAUAAUAAUUAUGUAAAAAAUUACUAUUUAAGGUCUUAAAAAAUACCCCGGACCCUCGCUAACAUUUGCCUUACUUUAUUUAUAUGGACAGUCUUGAAAACCUUGAUAUGUGAACGUUGCUAUUAAUUACUUGGAAAAGGCAUCUGCAGAGAGUCUACAAGAAGAUCAUAUGAAAUUGAAAACUAUUGGUUGUGUCUUUGUGAAUUUUGUAAAAUCAAAUUUCUNNNNNNNNNNNNNNNNNNNNNNNNNNNNNNNAGCAAUCUUUAGAUGAUUCUCAUGAAGCAAUGAGCAGUACAAGUGUACAACCUUUUACAUUAUGUAGCAUUAGUAACAAACUUAAACAAAUUAAGCACUUUUAAGGAUAUUGGUAUAAACUUUUUAGCUUAGUUUCUCACUUAUGAUUCCUUCAAGUGAUCCAACAAGACUCAAUACUGUCACCAAAAAACAAACAAAGCUAAAAAUCCUAAGAAAAAUCCAUUUUGUAGACCAAGAUUCAAUUUUAUUGUGCACAAAAUACAUCUCUACUGGGAAAUAUAUAGCUGAUGCAUGAAAUGUAGAUGUAGAAAUUGUUAGAAGGAAUUAUGAAGAAAAUUAGUCACAGUAGUAUACUUUUACAUACAAAAGCAUUUUUGAGGGAGGAAGUACAAAUUAUUAGUCAUCAUAAUUCAUAAUCAUAAUAAUAUAUAGAGUAGAAUUAUAAGCAGAAGUUAAUCACCUGUUCUCCUGAAAGGCUCUUCAACUAACACCUCGCCGGAAGAAGAGUAGUGAUCAAUCAACAGAGCGUUGUCUAUAAAUUCUUCCUCUCCCAUUGAUUUCUAUGACUCUUCCUUCCUUCAAUGGUGGGUCAAUGUGCUUCUCAAUAAUAAUAACCAGCUACAAGAACAAUAUAUAAGUCAAAACUUUAGUGUGACUUGUUAUUCAUUUUAGAUUCCAAUUUCCAACACGCAAGAAUGUGAUGUGAGGCAUAGUUAUUAUAGGUUGUAUGUGCACCAGAAAAUUUUCCAAUUAAAAACACAUAACUCUGAGUUUCCUUCAUAUGAAUCAUUUGUAAACGUAUCAAACUGCUUUCCUUGAGGUAUUUUUCCCACAAGAUGGUUAUUUGAAAGAUCCAAGAAUUCAAGGAAACCUAAAUUGGUUAAUUAUAUUGCGGUCGCAAUUGCAGUUGUCAUCAUCAAUUAAAAGAUAUGAUAUUAUUAACAUUAACAAACACAUAUCAGAAUAAAAUCAACAAGGUGACAACAAUAUCACAAUAUUUAUGGAUCAUUCAUGCUGAGAAAUAAUUAAAUAAUUAUUAUAUUACUUAGGAUAAACCCAUAUGCAUGAAAAAUUAGAACUUGAUAUGAAAACCUAUAAUUCAUUAUACUAAAAACAACAAAUGCUGUUUGAUUUUAAGCUUUGAGUUUUUGAUUUUGAGUUAUUGUUUGGAACUUUGUGUUAUUGAUUUUGGAACUUUGAUUUUGAUUUUUAAGCUAGUUUUAAGUUCUGAUCCCACAAUUGCUUGGUCCCUCUUUUUACUUUUUUUUUUCUUGGUAGUUUUGAUUCUUUGGACAUAAUUGAAAUUAAUCUACAACAGGUGUUCAUGAGUUGUCAAUUGCUUUACAUGUUCACAUUUGGAGCUACUUCAAUACUCUAUUUUAUGAUGAUUAUUGGUCAUUGUGGAAGGAUCAUCACUACUAUUUUAAUCAUAGUGCAAGUGUAAUUCAAUCCUUAUUGUAAUAUAAGUUUGUUAGAAGGGUUUGUUAGGAUACCUAACUCACAUGACAGUUACUUGCUACACAAGGUAACUAGUUUAGUUUAGAGAGAGUGCUAUAUAUAGCUUUUUAUUUUCAUAAAUAAAAGGUUAAGUGAAAUCAAGAACGUGAACAAAAUUGGCUUGACAAUGGUUAAUUAACUAAACAACAAUCUUAGCCAUUCGGUAUAAAGUAGAAACCAACACUGCAUGAACAGAACUGCAAUAUCUUUGUUGUUGACGCUUGGCUCCUUCCGAUGUUUCGGAGCUUAUUGUAAAGAGAUGAUCUUAGUUCUUUUAUUGCUUUACCUGAUCAUGUUAACCGUAAUAAAAACACUGCAUUAGUCUUAAAAAAUAGUUUUCUAUGAUCAGUAUCAUUAUGUGAUUCAAUUAUGAUAGAACAAAAAGUAAUAAACUAAUGAAAACAGGAGAAAAAGAAAAGCAAUGUUACAAAAUUAUAAUUUAGACUGUGUAAACUUGGUGUAGAGAGAACCAAAUAUGAAAUAUUCUAUGGAGGUGAGGACUGAGGGGAAUACUUAGAGUGUGACAUAAUUCAGAUGAGAUUGUCUGUCAUAAGAUAUCAUUUCAUCACUAAACUUUGAUGCAAAAUUUUCAUCUUAUUUUAUUAUUAAAAAAAAUAUAAUUUCUCAUCUGAUUCUAACUGAAAUGCAUAUAUAUAUAUUUGAGAUAACUUCACAGUACAAACUGUAUUUUUAUAGGUUUUGGAUAAAAAGUGAAUUCUAGCUAAAUUACAUAUGGAUAAACUUGCAAUUUUAUUAAUUAAAAACACACAAUAUAUUCAUUCAGAUUACAAACUUACAACCCAAAAUCAAACCACAAAAAUGAAACUAUGACAUUGGCACCAUCUGAGUUGAACCAUUGGUCCUCCUCACUCUAGCCCUUCUCCUGUUCACUCUUCUCUUAGGCUGACCACCAAAUAUCAUCACAAGCCAUCUUGGCUUUCCAAUCAAAAACACGAAAUAUCCAAUGCCUAUUCCAAUCACAAAUCCACAUCCAUAUCCAAUUGCCACUGGUUUCCAUCCAAAUCCAAAUUUCUUUUCACUCCUAAAGUCGUUGGCUGGAGGUGGAGGUGGAGAAUGAGUUUCAGGUCCACAUUUCUUUGACAAUGGAAAUCCACAUAGCCCCAAGUUUCCUUCAUAUGAAUCAUUUGUAAAUGUAUUGAAUUGUGUUCCUUGAGGUAUUUCUCCCACAAGAUGGUUAUUUNNNNNNNNNNNNNNNNNNNNGGGAAAGGUUAAGGCCUUUGAGUGCAUGAAGCUCUCCAAUAGCAUUUGGAAUCUCUCCUUCAAAAUUGUUUCUUGACAAAUCAAUACUUACAAACAAUUUUGGAAUUCUCACCAGUGUCAUUUCGUUACCUUUUGUUGUCACAGUCACAGAAUCAGUACUGCAUCCGUCAUAGUACUCUGAACACCAAGGAUCCAUGUAUAUCAAACUGCUAUCCCCACCAACUUGAGUAACAUUCUUCAUGGCUUCAUAAUUUUUGUAAUAGGCUUUUGGUAGAAAACCACUAAAAUUGUUGCCCGAGAUAUCAAAAAUGACUAAACUUGGAAAUAGAUGUUUGAUCUUUAAAUUGGCAAUGGGACCAUGGAACCUGUUGUCUCUCAAAACCAGCACUUUCAAAUCUUGUAGAGUUUGAAGCCAGUCGGGAAAUUUGUCUUCUAAUCUGUUGCUUCCAAGAUUUAAAAUGUUCAGGUAUUUGCAAUGGGACAAAGAUUUAGGCAAAAGGCCUUCUAAUAGGUUUCCAUUAAGAUUUAGAAUGGAAAUGUCCUUUGAAAAGUUACUUGGCAAAGUGCCAUGAAAUUUGUUCAUCUGUAGAUCCAAAAAUUGAAGGGAUUGAAAAUUUGAAAAACAUUGUGGAAUGAUACCACUCAAAUUGUUGUGUCCC